rnacentral:sRNA from 1 species
CCCCCCUUCCCCUCUAGAAUGCAUAUAUACAUUCCAGUGCAUGUUUGGGCCUGGGGUUGACGCUGACCGAAAAGAAUGCCCAAACAAAAAGAAGAGUGCCAUCCGUCUCGAAGAGUAUAGAUCAUAAAUGUCAUUGGGAGCGGAUGUGAUUUAAGUGUGUUUCUUUGGUUUCUUUUCUUGUUUUAUUUACUUUUUUUUUGUCCAUCUUUCCACUCCUGUCUUGGCGCCUUCUGUUGCUGUUACUCUUUUGUUAGUUUGUAUACUUCCUUAUAUUUUAUUUCCAACGCCGUAUGAAAUAACGUUCUCAUCCGACCAAUCAGUC